rnacentral:lncRNA from 1 species
GCUUUAUUCACUUUGAAAGGAAUGUUAACAUUCCAUACAUAGUUGUAAAAUUUUCAAAUAACCAGAAACAUACAUUUUAAAUAUUCUAAUAUCAAUGAUUUUGUUAAAUCUAUUUCAAGAGUUGUUUUGUAUGACACGAUAGUACAAUAUGAUUUAAAACUUGUAUUUAGAAGCAGAGUUAAAGUUGUGUCAUUUCUCUGUCCCUAUAACAUGUUUUAUAGAAGCUAUUACAUGUAUUGGCAUUACCACACUACAUUAAGCUGUUCUUUUCUUUUGCUCCAAAUUAUACUUUUGUGCAAAGAAUUUAUAUUAAAGGGAGAAUAAAUCACAAACCAAAGCUUAUAUUUCCACAUGUUCACCUGUAGCAAAUAAGCGCUUAACCUGGAUUGCCUAAUCUUAACUGCAGAAAAACAAUUUAUAUUCAUUGUGGCAGAAAAAUUCUAAAUCGUAGCAUAGCAUUAUAUUAUGUUAUCAGGGUGAAUGAUUAAUUUGUGUAGUUGAACAAAAGCAAAAAAAGAUUUUUCAAACUUGUUUGUUAGGUACAUGUAUGAUAUAGGAAUCUGCCAGUCCAGAAGUUCUAUGGGUAAAUUCAUUGGCUAAGAGAUAACCUAAAAUGAAAGCAAUGUCAUCUCAUUAGUUAUUUCCCUUGUUUCAGACAUUAUUAGCCAAUCACAAUGUUUAGUUUCAGACAUUGUUAGCCAAUCACAAUGUUUAGUUUCAGACAUUAUUAGCCAAUCACAAUGUUUAGUUUCAGAAAUUAUUAGCCAAUCACAAUGUUUAGUUUCAGACAUUAUUAGCCAAUCACAAUGUUUAGUUUCAGACAUUAUUAGCCAAUACAUCAUUAUUAUUUUUAGUUUCAGACAUUAUUAAUCACAAUGUUUAUUUUGUUUAGUUUCAGACAUUAUUAGCCAAUCACAAUGUUUAGUUUCAGACAUUAUUAGCCAAUCACAAUGUUUAGUUUCAGACAUUAUUAGCCAAUCACAAUGUUUAGUUUCAGACAUUAUUAGCCAAUCACAAUGUUGUUUU